UCUAAUAUGCAGUUGGGAUCUGCUUAAGUUUCUCCAACAACGAAGAAGACCAGCAGCCAUGAUGGCGCCUGCUAGUGAUUUGUCGAGCUAUUGAGAUCUCAGUAUCGAGUCGCGAGAUUAAUAACAAACGAAUUACCAUCCAUUAUUCAACUAAGCCAGUGAUUUCAUAGCUGUCAUCGCACGUUAUUUAUACGUCUGUCGUGAGGAGCACCAAAUGUUUUAUGCAUAACCAUCGAACCGUCAAAAGCUCAGUAUUAGAUGUUAAAGGAAUACACGGAUCAUCUGCCACAGAAGUAUUUAUACAACUUCAGCUCGGAAAUUGAAUCUUCAAAAUGAAUACAGACCUAAAGGAAAAAGACCCAGCCACAACAGAAGAGGACAACGAUGAUGAUGAGGAGGCUGAGAUCAUGGAAAUCCGAGGCGUGGUGAUGAAGCCUGGGAUCGAGUGGAGUAUCGCCUGGGAACGUCACGUGGUCAGUGUGUAUACGGGAAUAGAGAUGUACCAAAACCUUAAGCUUCCCCAUGGCAACAAGAACCGCGAAAUUACCCGCAUGUUGGAGGAGAGCUUAACACAGAAUAAACGAAUGACUAUCGAUUAUAGAAUCGCCGAUAAGGAAAUACUUGAGGUGCGUUAUCGAUAAUGCACAAACUCAUUGUUGUCCAAUAAAAGUUGUUCUUUUAACAGCACUUAGUGAAACUUUAUUGAUAAUUGAUAACAUUCUUGGACGAGGAAAGUGAGUAAAAACCCUUUUUAACUCUUAUUUUUUGAUAGCGUCGAGGUUUUAGUGCCUCAAUCAUAUGUAAUACGAUAUUAGUUUUAAGAAUUGUGACCAGGGGAUGUAAAAUUAAGAGUUACAUUUACUGCAACAAAAAAAGAGAGAAAUCUUAAAAAACCUUAGAAAUUCAAGAACUGGCAAAUUGUUUUCAAUACCUUAUCCUGCUGUUGUUUACGUUGUUUAUGUUGUUUAUUUGAAGAUUAAUUUAACUAAAGACAUUAACUUGGGAGAAUUUGGUUUUGCAUCAAUAUUAAAAGUUUUACUAAAGUAUUGCAAAGUGUCAGGAAAAAUUAUGGCAGCUUACUAAAUUUUUGUAAGAUUUCCUCAAAAUAAAUAUAAAGACCACA